rnacentral:rRNA from 1 species
UACAGAGGUCUCAAGCGUUGUUCGGAUUCAUUGGGCGUAAAGGGUGCGUAGGUGGCGCCGUAAGUCAGGUGUGAAAUCUCGGGGCUCAACCCCGAAACUGCACUUGAUACUGCGGUGCUUGAGUACUGGAGAGGAGAUUGGAAUUUACGGUGUAGCAGUGAAAUGCGUAGAUAUCAAGAGGAAUACCUGAGGUGAAGACGGGUUGCUAGGCCGACACUGACGCUGAAGCGCGAAAGCCAGGGGAGCAAACGGG